rnacentral:lncRNA from 1 species
UUCAUCCUAAAAUUAAAUUCUUUCAUCUGACAAGAAAACAACAGAAUUUGAUAAGCAAUACACUUCAUCUCUUGGUCUUACAUUAAGAUCAACAAAGACUGGAGCAGUCGCAGUUGCAUAGUUUCAGGGGAAAUGGCAAAACAGUUGAACAUGAGUUAACAUUACAUAUAUAUCCAGUUCUCCUCACGGGCUUAUCUUUAUAAGCAGCUAGCAACCUUCUUGUUUACCAGGCGUGAAAAAUCAGACCAACCACCAAACCAAUCUAUCAGUGGCACAAGAGACAUCCAUAAUUCAUCUCGAUCAGGAGAGGGCAAACAACUACCAAGCAAAUUAGCAGAGUACUUGUGAGAGUAGACACUGUAAAAUGUCGUUUGGCUUCCUUGCUGAACUUAAUCUUGGCAUUGUUGUUCCCAAACUGCUUGAUUAGGAUUAUUUUUUCGUCUCCACAAGCUCUUAGACCAGAUUAUCCGAAAUCAUCGCCAUUUACCCUAACCUAAAAAAAUCAUAUCAACCAAUGAAUUUGAAGUCUGGAAGAAAAAGGAAACACGGUAUAUAUCUCACCAUAACCGAGAGCUUCUCCAUAACGGCGGCAUAUCAGGCUCUUUCUGGUGGCCGCCCUGAACUGCACGUCAGAUGACGACGGCGGCGUUUGGAGUUAUGAUGACCGUGAUGGACUACAGACCAUCUUGGGUGACAUGAGGAGAAGGUGCGCCCGCGGCCAGAAGCAAACAAGGAAGUCGACGGCCGUGCCUCAGCAUCGCCGACCCGCGAUGCGUCGGAACCACGAC